rnacentral:rRNA from 1 species
GCCACGCCCGCUCAGAAACUUAAAGGAAUUGACGGGACCCCGCACAAGCGGUGGAUCAUGUUGUUUAAUUCGAUGAUACGCGAAGAACCUUACCAGGUCUUGACAUCCCCCGCGAUGCUUUAGAGAUAAAGCGGAGGUAUUCGGGGAGACAGGUGGUGCAUGGUUGUCGUCAGCUCGUGUCGUGAGAUGUUGGGUUAAGUCCCGCAACGAGCGCAACCCCUAUUGCUAGUUACCAUCAUUAAGUUGGGGACUCUAGCGAGACUGCCAGUGAUAAACUGGAGGAAGGUGGGGAUGACGUCAAAUCAUCAUGCCCCUUAUGACCUGGGCUACAAACGUGAUACAAUGGCUGGAACAAAGGGAUGCGAAGCAGUGAUGUGGAGCGAAACCCAUAAAAACAGUCUCAGUUCGGAUUGAAGUCUGCAACUCGACUUCAUGAAGUCGGAAUCGCUAGUAAUCGCGGAUCAGAACGCCGCGGUGAAUACGUUCUCGGGGUUU